rnacentral:rRNA from 1 species
CUGCUGCCUUCCGUAGGAGUUUGGGCCGUGUCUCAGUCCCAAUGUGGCCGUCCACCCUCUCAGGCCGGCUACUGAUCGUCGCCCUGGUGGGCCUUUACCCCGCCAACCAGCUAAUCAGACGCGGGUCCAUCCCAUACCACCUUGGUUUUCAACAAAAAGCAUGCGCUUUCUGUUGUUAUGCGGUAUUAGCACCUAUUUCUAAGUGUUAUCCCCCUGUAUGGGCCAGGUUACCCACGCGUUACUCACCCGUCCGCCACUAAGCCUUUCCCUUUUCCG